CUUCCUUCGCUACUUCUUCAGGUGGGCAAUCCUUGGUUCACUUCAAUGUCUGUGGGUGAGAUGCUAUCCAGUGUAGAGAAUAUGAGUAAUGCAAAAUGUGCUAACGAAUAGCCGAGGGAGGUAAACGCUGGACCUUUCAGACAGGAGCAAAGUUUUCUGAUGAUAACCCUCUUGCACCAGUUGAAAUCCUCUAAUAUAGAUGGUUCAUAUAGUUUUCCAGUAUCUACAUGUAGCGCACUGCUUUAGAAUUGUUUUGCAUAUGUUAUCUGAACAUUGGGUGGUUCUCAAAUUCUACUAAAAUGAUUAGCUUGAAUAGCCGAGGUAACUAGUAGUAAACAUGACCAUCUGGCGGCAUGUUUUAUUGCUUGCUGGUUGCAUGUUGCAUGUCAUCAUGACUGAUCAUGAAUCGUGACCAUCUACCAGUGUAUUUCACUCCGUGGUCUUCCCAAUUUUCUUCAAUUAUGAACUGUGAAGCUUAUAACUUUGCAAAAAGAUGUUUCAUGCAAUGGAUGCACUUGAUUUUCUUGCAUGCUUCCAUGUGUUGGUUUGAAGUACCACACCAUCGAUCGAUAAUACCACAAGUGGGCAGGCUGCUAGCAAUCUCUGUUCUUUCUUCUAGUAUGAUACAUCCACCUCCAUUUGGUAUGACAUGCUAUUGUGAUGUAGAACUGCUGCUGCUGAAUCUGAAUGUACACCGGUAUGCAUGUUGCAGGCAAUGAACUCUUGUGCAGCGGAAAAUAUCUGGAAGCAGCAACUCACUUACCGAAGCUCUGAAUAGAAUCCAAAUGAACCCGCAGUAAGGAUUUUGGUUUACAGCGGUUUUUAGAAACAGAGCUCAAGGUCACAUCUUUCUCAGAGCUCUGCCUGAAGGUCUGGAUGAUGCGGGAAAAUGUAUUGCGCUGGAUCCUACUUAUCUGAUGGGUUAUGCGUGUAAAUCGAAGGUUCAAGCCCUGAUGCAGAAUUAUGAAAGUGCUAUGGCAACAUACAUAGAAGUGUGAUCCAAACAGUACCAUUGUAAUUGAUGGCUUUAAGAGAUUGCGACAUGCAUUGAGAGGUCUAAAGGCGGUGACGUUGGGCCUGAGGAUUUAGAAGACAUUUUGUGAUCUACUGACAGAUUGACAUUCGGACAUUGAUUUGUGUAAGGAAGUUUCUGAUGAGCCCUCCAGGUGGAUUAAAUCUGAACGAGUGGCCAGGGUAUCAGAGGCAAACAAGGUCCAACGACGGGAAGAAACUGAGGAACAUCUUUCCAUGAUACAACAAGAGUUGCAACAAGUUAAAGCACGACAAGAUGAGGUCGCUGAUGAGCUACGAAAGCUAAUAAGCAUAAUGAGCAUGUUCAACAUCAGCUCUUGGAGUCCAAAAAGGGUCAUAGUGAGGAACUUUAGAGAGCCAAUGAGCAUAGUUUGAAUCUUCAACAUCAGCUCUCGGAAUCCAAAGAGCGGUAUAAUCAGCUUCAGUCCAAGGAUGACAACUUGCUAAGGGACGAGAUACUGCACUCAAAGAGGUAGAAAAGUUAUGCCGGAGAAGAAGUACGAUGAUGCCCUGCUAGUUUUCAUUAUCUGAACUGAAGUGAGCAACAGAAAAUUUCAUACUACUUCGUUGAAGUUCA